ACAAUAGAGAUUUGAUCUUGAUCCAAUCUAUUUGAAUUUAUUAUAAACGCAAUGGGUUAAUUAAAUUACUAGCACAUGAAUUAAAUCAAGUUUCCAAUUGGGUUUAGUAAAAAUAUGUUUGUGCUAACCUUUUGCUUGUUGCCUUGACCUAAUGUGAUUGGGUUUGAUCCAUCUAUUUAUUAGUUGGUUUAUCUAAUUUUUUUGAAACUGUUCCAUAUGGUUUAAACCAUCUCCACACCAAAACCACAUGCCAAAAUAUUUGGCAUGCCCAAAAUAAAUGGCGAUG
rnacentral:lncRNA from 1 species